CCAGUCUUUCUCUUGUGGUCAGAUAGGGCUACCUUAGUCCAGGGCUCUCUCCGGGUUUGGGGAUUGGAAUGCGAGGUCACAUUCCAGGUGUGAUGGGACCAGCUCUGAGGUAAGGGGACGAUCACCUCCAGUUCUGAACAGACUAAGACCUGGAGUGUUUCUCAUGCCUGCUAUUUUGCUGAAAGGGUCCCCCCUCACCCUGUUUCACAUCCUCCCCACCCACCUUCCCUACAGCUGAGCACCUUAAGGGCAGCUGGUCCAUGAACUUGCUAAAGACCCCAGAGAUGGUCUGACCCAAAGCUCUGCCCAGACAGGGUCAACAGGGAUUUGGUGGGCCAGCCAGUCCUUCUCUGUGGUCUGAGGAGAGAGCUAAACCAUUGGAAGCAGGAGAUGAGGCAGGAGGACAGAAAGAAGGAGGUAAGUAGAUACUUGAGUCAGUACAGGCCACGAGAAAGCAGAGGCUGAGGGAAGGAAAUGAUCCACUACACCAGUCAGGUCGUGGGAGCAAGUGGCAGGAGCAAACUGACCAAUUUCAACAGAAAAAUAAUUUCUUACAAGGGACUGUAGGUGACUUGCAGAAAAUGGUUUCCAACUACAGGGUGACUUCAUGAUAUAUAUAUAUUUGAUUCUAAAGAAUUACAGCACAUGGCAGGACAAGAUGCAUGUGUUUCAGAAAAUUUAAAACUUCCCUUCCCCCGUGCCUCCCAAGAAGAUACAUCCAGGUCGCUGGAGGGUUUUUGGCUUGCGGAGAACAGUCUUGUUCAGGGAGAUGAUGGCCUUCCCUAGAUCACAGCCUCACAUCAUAGGUAAGGAAGAGAAGCCCAGAGCUAACUGCGCCACAAAGAAGAGGGAGGUAAGAAAGGUGGGUGUAGGGCCUGGGGUCACUUGAUGGGACCAAGAACUCCUGGGUGCUGUUAGAUGUAAAGCUCUACUCUCUCUGUAGAUCGAAAUCUUUGCUACGAUGUCCAUUUCUCACUAAAGCCUGUGGUGAAGGUUGACUCCGGGAUAAUGCAGUGCUGAGACUUGCUCCUUGAGAAAGGAUGUGAGUGGAGGUUGUGGGCCGUUACACCUGCACUGUGUUUUGAGACCCUGCCCAGGGUUUUCAAUGAAAAUAAAAAGCCAAUCAUGCGCCCCACCCCCAUUGCCGCCAAAGUACCAGUGCAGGAUGAACCAGCCAGAGCAGAGACGGCUUUGGAAUAUUAGAUCAACACCAGCAGAAAUCUGCAGUUGUGAAGUCAGCAUUCUGGCACGAUCAAGAAUGGUUUUUCAAAAGAAUAUGCUCCCCACUAGUGGAAAGAUGACCCCCAAGAGCUCCAUCCUGAUAUCUUCAGCCCUACUGGAAAGAGCUUACUUUCCCAUUCAUUCUGAGGAAAUGACCAGAACUGAGUCUCAUGGGAGAUUGAUUGGAUUAUUUCCCCAGCCCUGGAGUUGGGAGGGUAGGGUCAGCCACACAGGAACUCCUUGAACUGACAGUGUAGGCAGGAAAGUCUCCCAAAGGAAAUGAAGGUGCUGAUACCAAAAACAGGAACACCAAAACAGCAGUCAGUGAAAAAUUGAGAUAUACACCCUAUGAAGUGAGCUCAGGAGACUGAUGUAAAAAAACAAAACAACACCAAACUUCCUUGUGUGUCCCCAGGCUGGAAAUUGACGUUUAAUCCAGCCAUGAAGGACACAUGAUUUAUUAGGAAACUACAGUGUCUCCAGGAAGGGGCGAGGUGGACUGGGGCAGAUCCCCUUGGCUGAUUUGGGCCCCCACUCCCUCCCCUUUUAGCCUUAGCUUCAGAGACAGGAUUUCCUGGAGCAGGAGCUGCCGCUGUGGAGCCAGCUCCCAGACAAGUCGAAAUCUCUGGUCAAGGCCGCACGCUACCAGACAGGAGAGAUGUUCGAAGACAGCGCGGCCCCGGGGACAAGAAAAGAGGGUGCCGACUGCCUCUGAAGUGUUACAGGGUGGUGGGAGACAGGGAGAUAAGUGGCAAAAAUUAGAGGCUUUAGGCUCUGGCAGUAGGACUCAAAUUCCAGGCCACAGAUCAAUGCCUCCAUCUCUGGGCAGGAAUGACAAUUGCCACUUACAGGGAGAUGCAGUGAAGGGGGGAGUUGCCAGGAUUCACAGGGCUUACAGACAGCAAGGAGACAGGUGCUCCCCACACGUGUUAAGAAUGAAGAGACCCAUGCUAUGAGCCAAGGGACAAGAUGGGACAAGAUGCACUUGAUGGCAGCCUGGAGAAUCUGGCCCUGCUAGGACAGCUGCAACUGAGGAGACCUUAUGGAAAAAGGUAAUCACGGCAUCUCCAGUACGGUGUGGGGUGGCGGAAAGAGCCAAGUGCCAGCCAUAACUCCUCCAGGAUCCUGUAAACGGGGCGUGCGUGGACGAGACAGAGCCCAUGAUGCACUCAGCCCAGGGCCGAGCACAUAACUAGCGCCCAGCCGAGGUGUAUUGAUACACACCCUGCAACAAAACCACACAAAACAAACAGCUGAUGGCAUAGUUUCUGGUGUUGCUGAGAUACUCAUUCCCACGUGGCUUGGAGCCAAGACAUCACUGACCUCAGAAGCUUGGAUUCCUAGACUGGUUUAGGAACUUAGACUGUCUCACAGCUCUAACACGGAGGGGCCUCCCAAGCUGUCAAUCGACCCCAAGUAGGGGUAGAC